CAUUUAUUUUAAUCCAAGGUUUCAAAAUGGAUGACUGCGCACCUAAGAAAAGGGGGAGCCAAGACAUGCCAGCAAAUGAAAACAGUGCAUUUCACCCCCCUAAAAGAAAGAAGAAUUCAUACACAAUUUACCUGGUUCAUGAGCUCCCAGCACGGAGUAUCUACUAUCACUGAUGACUGAUGAUAUGGUAGAGGAAACAUUUUCCAUAAUUUUCUUGCUCCUAGCAGUUUCCUGCUUAAUUGGUCCUAAUUCAAAGGGAUAUGCAACGAAGAAAAUCUACAGCGUAUUUGGGAAUCUCAAAUCUGUACCCAAUUACAACUGGUGCUCAUUCGCACUUUCAUAUUUGACGCACCACAUAAAAAAAUUCAAAACCAAUCUUCUUCAUAACAAGACUUAUCUGCCUGGAGGUUGUAAACUAAUCUUGGUGAUUUCCCACUUCAAAUUCUUGAUUACUUCUGAAUUCAAGAUUCCAAUAAACAUCAAACCAAGGUUACCUCUCUGGUCAACAAGCCUAUUAAAAUCAUUCAUUACUCUCGAUACUAUGCACGGUGAACACAACCAGUUCGCUAGACUUUCUGUAAGUCACUUCGUAAUACAUUCACUUAUCUUGCAGCUUCUAUUUUUUUUCUUUCAAGUGUAUAAUUAACUAAAUGGAAAAAAUAUGUACCUUUCUUUUUUUUCUACUGAAAUCAGUCCCGACUAUGAUUUCCUUACAACGUUUCUUUUUCUCCGUACCAGAUGAAGCAUAUCUCAUCAACUCCUUUCAAUCAUACAACAAAUUGUACGGAUUUGUAACUACCUGAAGUUAUUCUCCAGUACAUUGACAACAAAUACCCUUCUUUUCAUAAUGUGCAGGUCAGUAAGUACUUUUCUAAAGUAACAAUGGAGUAAUUUUACCCUGCAAAAAAAACAAUGGAGUAAUUUACAAUUCCUUUUUUCCACUUUCUUAUACAAAAAAUGAAGUAACGUACUACCCAAACUUUUUUUACUGAUUUGUCCUUCUUUCUAUGAAUACAGGAGAAAACAGUUCUUGAAUCUAGCAGCCAAAAGUUUUGGGAAAUGCUAGUUACAAACUCCAUUCUAACACUUCAAGCAUAUAUUGAUGAUGUGAACUCUUUAUUCGCAAAUCCUGUGCACUCAAUGAAGGAGAAUUAUUCUGCAACUAGAAAGGAAUCAGCAACUUCAAAAGUGCUAAUCUCUUGUCCUACAAAAGAGUUCGCUCCCCCAAAGAUCGAAGACAAAUCUAUAUUCGAUACAUGUUCAAAUGAUUUAAUGAAUUUCCCAAUCCCUACUGUCUUGCCUCCAACAAACUCAUUGGACAUCGCAACAUCAGCUUUACUAGAAAAACUGGUAGAUUCUGUAGUAAUCAAAGACUAUGCAAAUAUGGGUGUCCUUUUUUCGAAAAACUUACCAACCUUGAAAGAACUUGUCAAGAUUGAGAAAAUUAGUAUACCAAAUAGCAACGAAGAAACUAAUACUAUGCUAGGUACACUUUUCUGGUCUUUUCCUUUUUAAGUAAAAUGAGUGUUCCUAAUGAUAACACAUAUUUUUACACUAUUUUUCCGGUUUCAAUUCUGUUAAUGUAUUUCCUCUUUUUUUAGUUCACUAAAAGCAACCAAGUUUGCCAGACAAAUAACUAUGUGUUUUGUUUUCUUUCUUCCCCUUCAUAAAUAUGCAGUGCUUGAAGAAUAUAUCAAAACUAAGCCAAACAAGAUAUAUUUACCAACAUCCAAUGAAAUUGCAUGGAGAAAUGAAAAAUUCAGCUUAUCUGAAUUCAGAUUCAUAGCCAGUGAUCCAAUCUACAGAGGGAAUAAUAUGUAUUGUCUGGAUGAUGAACCAUCUAGCAUUUCUGCCGGGAUGAACCCAAAUUUGAUCGUUGCGCCAAAACCUCAAAACAAACUCCAUGACUACCCUUCUUGCUGCACCAAAACAGAUGCAAUUCAUGCAGAUUAUCCUGAUGAAAUGACUACUUUCUGUCAAGCAAACCAGUCAGCAGCAGCUUCUUCUGUAUUAGUUCCAAACACAAACUACCAUUCUCUUCCAAGGAUUUGUAAUAGCAAGUCUCCUUUUAUAUAUAGCAACAGCCCACACAGAAGCUUCCAAAACCAAUCACCACAAGGAGCAAAUAGGUUUGGAACGCCUGUAACAGAGCCUUUGAUGUCUUAGUUACUAGAAAAUUUCGAAGCUGAAUGUUAUCAGAGAGACAAGGAAGCUGUAGAACAAAGGAUUAUUGAAAAAUUCUCUUUAGCCUCAACUAUUUACAAGACAUAUCAAAUGCCUACAAUAUAUAGUGCACUCAUCUCCUCUACAAGCUGAUUUUUACAAGAUGAUAAACUCGGUUCUCCCACACCUAGAUCUCAGGUUGUUGGAUGAACCCGCUCACCUUGGACUGCUACUCCAAAAUGCUGAACACAGACCAACUACAUAGAGGAAGACAAGGACUUCUACCAAGUGAUCAGUACAUUGCCCACGUAGUUGGCAGAGAAGACAUGGUAUGACACAGGUGUAUUCCUACUACAAAUUAUAAAAACAUAUCGAGGAAUGGGAAUACCUGGUUUCUCAACACACGAUCUGCAGGCUCUAAGAGAAAAAAAUUGUAUGAGAUUCCUACAUGCUCAAACAGUACAAUACAACUACCAAUAGUGAAAACUUUUCUGCGACAACAUGGAUUUUGGCUCCUCAAGUAAUUCAUUUUUCCCAUCUGCCAAAUAUGAAGGUCGCAAUAAUUUUUUUGCGAAGUAAGUUCUGAAUAUCGAAACUUAGUUCCCGUCAAGCAAAAAAGGUUCAUCAUUUUUGUUCAACGGCACCAUCAUGUCAACUUGCUUGCUCAAGCAUCAAUCCCAAUGUUAUGUAAUAUAAGACAUAGCAACUACAUGUUCGAAGAUUAAGUUUUCUUUUUUACUUACUCAUGAAAGUUGACAUAUU